CCUACGGGAGGCAGCAGUGGGGGAUAUUGCGCAAUGGGCGAAAGCCUGACGCAGCAACGCCGCGUGAACGAGGAAGCUCUUCGGAGUGUAAAGUUCUGUCCUAUGGGAAGAAGAUGACGGUACCAUAGGAGGAAGCCCCGGCUAACUACGUGCCAGCAGCCGCGGUAAU
rnacentral:rRNA from 1 species